rnacentral:rRNA from 1 species
GACAGAGGAUGCAAGCGUUAUCCGGAAUGAUUGGGCGUAAAGCGUCUGUAGGCGGCUUUUCAAGUCCGCCGUCAAAUCCCAGGGCUCAACCCUGGACAGGCGGUGGAAACUACCAAGCUGGAGUAUGGUAGGGGCAGAGGGAAUUUCCGGUGGAGCGGUGAAAUGCAUUGAGAUCGGAAAGAACACCAGCGGCGAAAGCACUCUGCUGGGCCGACACUGACACUGAGAGACGAAAGCUAGGGGAGCAAAUGGG